rnacentral:rRNA from 1 species
GACGAACCGUACGAACGUUAUUCGGAAUCACUGGGCUUAAAGGGUGCGUAGGCGGCGCGGAAAGUUGGGUGUGAAAGCCCUCGGCUCAACCGAGGAAUUGCGCCCAAAACUACCGUGCUUGAGGGAGACAGAGGUGAGUGGAACUAAGGGUGGAGCGGUGAAAUGCGUUGAUAUCCUUAGGAACACCGGUGGCGAAAGCGACUCACUGGGUCUCUAACUGACGCUGAGGCACGAAAGCUAGGGGAGCGAACGGG